rnacentral:rRNA from 1 species
AGAGUUUGAUCCUGGCUCAGAACGAACGCUGGCGGCGUGGAUUAGGCAUGCAAGUCGAACGAUAUCCAGGGCGUCCAAGUAGCAAUAUGAGGAUGUCCUGGUGACAGUGGCGAAAGGGUGAGUAACGCGCGGGUAAUCUGCCCUCAAGUUGGGGAUAGCUCUGCGAAAGCGGAAUUAAUACCGAAUGUGGUCGUCCUUCACAUGAAGGAUUAUCCAAAGCCGGGGACCGCAAGGCCUGGCGCUUGAGGAUGAGCCCACGUACUAUCAGCUUGUUGGUGAGGUGACGGCUCACCAAGGCUAUGACGGUUAGCUGGUCUGAGAGGAUGGUCAGCCACACUGGGACUGAGACACUGCCCAGACUCCUACGGGAGGCUGCAGUCGAGGAUCAUUCGCAAUGCGCGAAAGCGUGACGGUGCGACGCCGCGUGCAGGAUGAAGGCCUUCGGGUCGUAAACUGCUGUCAUGAGGGAACAAUGUCCGGGAUGUGAAUAUCAUUUCGGGGUGAUAGUACCUCAAGAGGAAGCCACGGCUAACUCUGUGCCAGCAGCCGCGGUAAUACAGAGGCGGCGAGCGUUGUUCCGGAUUUACUGGGCGUAAAGGGUGCGUAGGCGGUUCUGUGUGUCGGACGUGAAAUCUCACAGCUCAACUGUGGAAUUGCAUUUGAAACUACAGGGCUGGAGUACAGGAGAGGAGAGCGGAAUUCUCGGUGUAGCGGUGAAAUGCGUAGAUAUCGAGAGGAACACCGGUGGCGAAGGCGGCUCUCUGGACUGAUACUGACGCUGAGGCACGAAAGCUGGGGGAGCAAACAGGAUUAGAUACCCUGGGUAGUCCCAGCCCUUAAACGGUGUGCCACUUGGUGGGGGGAGGGAUUGUCCCUUCCCCGCGCCGUAGCUAACGCGUUAAGUUGCACCGCCUGGGGGAGUACGGUCGCAGAUUAAAACUCAAAGGAAUUG